UACGUAGGGAGCAAGCGUUGUCCGGAAUCAUUGGGCGUAAAGCGCGCGUAGGUGGCUUCGUAAGUCCGUUGUGAAAGUCAAAGGCUCAACCUUUGAAAGCCGAUGGAUACUGUGAAGCUAGAGUACGGAAGAGGCGAGUGGAAUUCCUGGUGUAGCGGUGGAAUGCGCAGAUAUCAGGAGGAACACCAAUAGCGAAGGCAGCUCACUGGCCCGAUACUGACGCUGAGGUGCGAAAGCGUGGGGAGCAAACAGG
rnacentral:rRNA from 1 species